UAAGCUAAAUGCACAUAGGCAUUUCCUAAAUAGUAGGAUUUUUCCUUGAUAUAUUAAGAACAUUUAAGCUUGUUUCCAAACUUUAGUAGGAUCCAAAAUCCAAUAAUAGAACUGUAUAUAUUCCUUAUGUUUUCUUCCCUAUGAUAUCUCUGACAAUAACAUUACAAUAUCUAUGAAAAUGGAUUUUGUAAAAAGAAUAGGGAUUAAGGAAAAAAUGGCAGUCAGCAUUUGUAAUUCAGUUCAUACUGAACUGUUCAGUCAAAUGCUCACUUACAAACGCAGUCACUUUGUUAAUAAACCAUAAAAUCAGAUUAAAUGCACUGUAAAGACAUUUUCACAUCUAACUGAAAGUAUUAUAAACCAGCAAAUGCACAAUGAAAGUCUGUCAAUGCCGUACCUAUCUCUUUAUUCAUUGAGCAAUACUGCCAUCUGCAGGCAAAAUACGUUUCAUCACAUGAAAACAGCUAACGAUAUGUUUUUGUUACUCUUUGUCUCUUGUAUUUUUACUCCUGCAGUUAUUAUUAUUUUUUUGUAAUUGACUUUCUUCCAUAAAUUGCUGUAUUCAUUAGCCUACUGCUUGAGUACAGCUGUAAUAACAUUAUAGAAACUGAAAUGUAAUAAUCAAUUUCUGUGAAUACGGUACAAAAUUGUGUUUAUUGUUUUAUCCUAAGCUAAAGCAUUAUCUUGGUCAUUUUACUUGCCAUACAUAUCGCUUUGGAAUAUGCCGUUGGUGUGUUAAAAUAGCUAUACACUACAUUCUAGUUUAAUUUUAUGUUAAAUAAUGGUUUAUCAAACAUCUUAUAGGUUUCACAACAAAACAUAGGAUUUGUCUCUUGUGCAUUAGUCACAGGGCACUGUGUACCGUAUUCGUGGAAACCAGUAAAACUUUCAGCAAAGUUCAGACAGUUCACUUCUACCAAAGAGUAGUUCUUUGCUUCUAGAAAAAACUACAAACGCCAGGAGCGAUGAGUUCACGCGCCCAAUAGUCCCGUUGCAUCACUUCCGUGUUUACCACCUGACGAAACAUGGUGAAAUGAAAGUAAAAUCUGACGUGUCCUACUGUUGAUAGCUAAUAUUAGGAUUCGGGAACACCCCUUUUACUCACAACUCAACAUCCAAACCAAGUGUAGGAACUUCAAGCCUUCCAAACAGGAGCUGUCAUUCAGAUAUUAUGAUGCGUAACAGGCAGAGGGGAUCCAAUCUCGGCCUGCUCCUGCUGGCUUCUCAGGUUUUCCAGCUGGGAAUUGACAACAUCCCACCUGUCACUCUUGCAACGCUAGGCCUGAAUGUUUAUUUGUUCCUGUUUCCUGCAAAACCCCUCCUACAGACAUGUUUGAGUGUUCGAGAGGCGUACUUGUACAAAGACUGGACUCGUCUGCUGCUGUCACCGUUUCACCAUGCUGACGACAUGCACUUGUACUUCAACAUGGCCUCGCUCCUUUGGAAGGGCAUCAAACUGGAGAGGAAACUGGGAGGUGCCUGGUUUGCGUACCUGCUCUCUGUCUUCUCUCUGCUCACCGGAUUGGUCUACCUGCUCCUGGAGACAGGACUGACACACAUGACAGACGACUCUUCAUAUAGUUUACAGUGUGCAGUGGGCUUCUCAGGUGUUCUGUUUGGGCUGAAGGUGGUGAAUAAUCAUUAUCAUCCAGGAGGGGCCACAUACAUCAUGGGGCUGCCUGUAGCCAAUCGCUAUGCCUGCUGGGUAGAGUUGGUCCUCAUCCAUAUCAUGAACCCUGGGACUUCAUUUGUCGGACACUUGGCUGGGAUCCUGGUCGGUCUGCUCUACACGACUGGACCACUAAAGAGCCUCAUGAAGACCUGUGCAGGCUUUGUGACAUCUAAUGGACAAUAUGGAGGGCAGCGAACAUACUACAAUUCAACAGGAUACAGUGGAUAUGGCAUGCCGUAUCCACCAAACUCCCAGUAUGGACAGCAGUCGUUUAAUCCCAGGCACUAUGGCGCCCCCUACAGGCAGCAGUAUGACACACACAGGCCCUCUGCACCACCCCAGCAUCCCUAUACAGCAGGACUGUCAGAAGAUGAGCAGUAUGAGGCAGCUGUCAGGGCCAGCCUGAACACCAGAGAACAAAACGGCAACAAAUAUUUGUACGGAAAAUAUGAACAACAUUUCUUGAAGUCUAGGAUCGGCACUGUAGAUGAGUUUGUGUCUUCAUGGGAACAGAUUUGGAGAAAGCAUUAUUAUAUUAGCAUUCCAUCACUUGCUCACUAAGUGUGCCAUCAGAAUGAGAGUCCAAACAGUUGAUAAAACAUCACGAUAAUUCACAAGCAAUCCACAUGACUUUUUUUACAAACACACAGCUUUUCGCUUCACAAGAUGUUAAUUGAUGGACUGGAGUCAUGUGGGAUACUUGUAGAUUAUUGUGAUUUUUUUUUUAUUAGCCGUUUGGACUCAUUGGACGGCACCCAUUCACUGCAGAGGAUCCAUUAGUGAGCAAGUGUAAUGCUACAUUUCUCCAAAUCUGUUCCGAUAAAGAAUGAAACUGAUCUACAUCUUGGUUGGCCUGAGAGUGGUUUUACGCAGGCUAGAUCAUCACAUGGCACUUAUGCUCACUCAAACCCAACUCCUGAAGAGAUCCGCUGGCGACGGCUUCAGAGGUUUAACAGCUGAACAAUUGGAGAACAUGACACAUAAUGAUAAUAGUACUAGUAGUAGAUUGUUUACAUCAAAGACAACACUAACAACAGUUCAGAGCUAGCGGAGAAGAUUCCUCCACUGCUGACUGGUUGUGUCAUUGAAUAGCUUUUAUAAUGUUAUCAGUAGGAGGUUUCAAAGGCCUUUGUCUGUAUUUCUAACUGCAAAAAGUUUGUAUGCACAUUUGUUUUGGCUCUAAAUGCUGAUCUAAAGGUUGAACAUUUAAUGAGGUGAACAUUCAUGACAUGGUUGUGGAUGAGCGUGCCUUUUGCAGUAUGUUUAAUGUACAGUAAGAUGAUUUUGUCAGUGUGCCAAUAAGUCUUACUAAAUGUAUGUAAACUCUCUCAAGCUUAUAGCACUUGAUUAUUUCCAAACAACAUUUCUUCCUAAGUAACUUAUACUUUGUUUCUUAAGAAAGUAUAUUUUUGUAAAUAAACAAUAAAUCAUUCUUAUUCUG